ACGGAGCGUUUGACUCGAAAUGGCCGCGCACGGGUUUACGUUCAAGGCCCAGUUUAGCUUUGUUCAAUCCGAACAUCUGGACGUCUUUUCCGCGUUGAUAAACGGUGACGUCAUAUAGACUAUACUUGGACUCCAGUCAUCUGACCGUAGGCCCACAAGAAUCUUUGCUUCAAUUGGAGACAGUGUGCGUUUACCAUGUGGUACAUCCUACAUCAAUUCCUGCUCCUCUGUUACCUGGAGUAUAGUGAAAGAUGGGUUUGAUAACCAAUUAGAACUAUCAGGCAAGGUGAAAGCGGAUGGUCCAAACUCAGGAAGUCGACUGAAAGUGGGACAGGACUGCUCUCUACAUAUUCAACCUCUUGAAAUAGAUGAUGGAAGAGUUUACACCUGUGGAGAUGGGGCUACCAGUUCAAGUGUUUCUCUUCAGCUUCUCAACAUUACUCUGGCAACAGACACCAAUACAGCACCAGAGAUGGAUAUCAAGCUCCAAUGUUACCUGAAUAUAUUCUCAGGCCUUGUCCCACAAUGCAACCAUAGUGGAAUAAAGCUGAAUUGGCUGAAUGAGGCCAAUACAGUGCUACAGGGAGAGAGAUUUCAAACCGAACGUUCAUCUGCUUGCUUCUCUACGCUGACCAUCCGAGGUGUCAGGAAGACAGACCAUCACAGGAAGUGGCGGUGUCAACUGAUUGAAGGAGAGGUUGUGAAGACGUCCCUCAGCUAUACCACAGAAAUUACAGGAGGUAUAGAGGAAGUGUUUGUCGCAGUGGGUGAGUCAGUAUCACUUCCCUGUGCCACCCACUCCUCCCUCGAGGUGGGCAGCAGAUUCCAGUGGACUCUGGGUCAAAGGUCACUGUCCAGUCUGUCUCGGUCAGGCGAUGUCUCAGCUGGAACUCAGGGUCACCUUCCUGCAUCUCACAUCAGCCAAGACGGGUCUUUGGUCAUCAGCAAUGUGAAAACACUGCAUUCUGGGCUCUACAACUGCUCGCAACAGAACAGAAUCCUACUACACACUCUGGAUGUAUCUGCAGACCAUGCUACCACAGAUGGAAAUAAUCUCACCCUGACCUGCUCACUCACCUGUGUGGAAGAUUGUGGAGACUUCAAUUUAUC
ensembl:lncRNA